ensembl:lncRNA
AAUACGUUUAUAAAUAAUUCAUUGUUAUUAGUUUGCAUGUAACAAGGUUGCCUAUAAAUAAAUGAAAAAAAAUAUGUGAGUUUUCCACCGGAAGCGCUCACAUAUUUUAUUUUUUAGUAUUUGCGUGCACUUCCUCUGACCGUCACCGGAGCCCAGGAGGAGAAGAGCGGGAGACUAACCGACUGGAGCACGGUAACACUGAGUUGUGAAUGUUGCUGCGACAAAUAUGACUUGGCACUUAAGGGUUGACUUGGCCAGGGUCUCUUUCCCAAAGAUCAUUGUGGCCAGCUCCUGUGUGAAAAGCGACAAACGUCUGCUGCCGAUUCUAUUGAAGAGCCGUUUUGAGACCUGGACGGCGGAGUUGCCCAGGAACAUCUUUAAAAACACAAAGAGGCCAAUUAAAACAAGAUCAUAAUUACAAACACACUACCAUGUUUUAAAGGAGACAUAUUAUGGUGUUUUCCCAACAAGUAAACAUAGUACCAGAAAAGCUGUUUUUGAAGCUGUUUGCUG